rnacentral:rRNA from 1 species
GGUGACAGUGGCGAAAGGGUGAGUAACGCGUGGGUAACCUGCCCUCAAGAUGGGGACAACCCGCCGAAAGGCGGGCUAAUACCGAAUGUGGUGUUCUGGGGCAUCCCGGGACUACUGAAGGCGGGGACUUCCGGUGCAAAUCGGAGGCCUGCCACUUGAGGAUGGGCCCGCGUCCUAUCAGCUAGUUGGUGAGGUAACGGCCCACCAAGGCAACGACGGGUAGCUGGUCUGAGAGGAUGGUCAGCCACACUGGGACUGAGACACUGCCCAGACUCCUACGGGAGGCUGCAGUCGAGGAUCAUUUGCAAUGGGCGCAAGCCUGACAAUGCGACGCUGCGUGGAGGAUGAAGGCCUUCGGGUUGUAAACUCCUGUCAGUCGGGAACAAUGGCCCUGUUUCGAACAAAGGCAGGGCGUGAUGGUACCGGCAGAGGAAGCCACGGCCAACUCUGUGCCAGCAGCCGCGGUAAUACAGAGGUGGCGAGCGUUGUUCGGAUUUACUGGGCGUAAAGGGCGCGUAGGCGGUCUUGCGUGUCGGUCGUGAAAUCCCACUGCCUAACGGUGGAACGGCGACCGAAACUGCAGGACUUGAGUGCAGGAAGGGAGAGCGGAAUUCACGGUGUAGCAGUGAAAUGCGUUGAUAUCGUGAAGAACACCGGUGGCGAAGGCGGCUCUCUGGAAUGCUACUGACGCUGAGGCACGAAAGCUGGGGGAGCAAACAGGAUUAGAUACCCUGGUAGUCCCAGCCCUAAACGGUGUGCACUUGGUGUGGGGAGAAUUGACCCUCUCCGUGCCGGAGCUAACGCGUUAAGUGCACCGCCUGGGGAGUACGGCCGCAAGGCUAAAACUCAAAGAAAUUGACGGGGGCCCGCACAAGCGGAGGAGCAUGUGGCUCAAUUCGAUGCAACGCGAAGAACCUUACCAAGGCUUGACAUGCAGCUGCACGUCCCGUGAAAGCGGGAUUCCUUCAAGGGUGCUGCACAGGUGCUGCAUGGCUGUCGUCAGUUCGUGCCGUGAGGUGUUGGGUUAGGUCCCGCAACGAACGCAACCCUUGUGUCUAGUUGCCACCGCAGGUGAUGAACCUGCGAGCACUCUAGACAGACUGCCUGUACAAGCAGGAGGAAGGUGGGGAUGACGUCAAGUCAGUAUGGCCCUUAUGCCUUGGGCUGCACACGUGCUACAAUGGCCGGUACAGAGGGACGCAAUACCGCGAGGUGGAGCAAAUCCUGAAAGCCGGCCUCAGUUCAGAUUGAAGGCUGCAACUCGCCUUCAUGAAGUUGGAUUCGCUAGUAAUGGCGCAUCAGCUACGGCGCCGUGAAUACGUUCCCGGGCCUUGUACACACCGCCCGUCACAUCAUGAAAGCCGUCUGCACCCGAAGUCACUGCGCGAACCCGCAAGGGAAGCAGGUGCCUAAGGUGUGGGUGGUGAUUGGGAUGAAGUCGUAACAAGGCA